GGGGCUAUAGCGCAGCUGGUAGCGCACCUCAAUGGCAUUGAGGGGGUCAGGAGUUCGAAUCUCCUUAGCUCCA
rfam:Synechococcus sp. PCC 7335 scf_1103496006895 genomic scaffold, whole genome shotgun sequence.